rnacentral:rRNA from 1 species
UACGGAGGGCGCAAGCGUUAUUCGGAUUCACUGGGUUUAAAGGGUGCGUAGGCGGGUUGGUAAGUCAGUGGUGAAAUCUCCGAGCUUAACUUGGAAACUGCCAUUGAUACUAUCAGUCUUGAAUAUUGUGGAGGUCAGCGGAAUAUGUCAUGUAGCGGUGAAAUGCUUAGAUAUGACAUAGAACACCAAUUGCGAAGGCAGCUGGCUACACGAAUAUUGACACUGAGGCACGAAAGCGUGGGGAUCAAACAGG